UACGUAGGUGGCAAGCGUUGUCCGGAUUUACUGGGCGUAAAGAGCGCGCAGGCGGUCGUUCAAGUCGCGUGUGAAAGCCCCCGGCUCAACUGGGGAGGGUCACGCGAUACUGAUCGACUGGAAGGCAGGAGAGGGUAGUGGAAUUCCCGGUGUAGAGGUGAAAUUCGUAGAUAUCGGGAGGAACACCAGUGGCGAAGGCGGCGACCUGGUCCAACAUUGACGCUGAGGUGCGAAAGCGUGGGGAGCAAACAGG
rnacentral:rRNA from 1 species